rnacentral:rRNA from 1 species
GAUGAACGCUAGCUACAGGCUUAACACAUGCAAGUCGAGGGGCAGCACAGUGUAGCAAUACACGGGUGGCGACCGGCGCACGGGUGCGUAACGCGUAUCCAACCUUCCCGUUACUCUUGGAUAGCCUUCCGAAAGGGAGAUUAAUACAAGAUGGUAUUCAAAUUCCGCAUGUUAUUUGAAUUAAAGAUUUAUCGGUAACGGAUGGGGAUGCGUGACAUUAGAUAGUAGGCGGGGUAACGGCCCACCUAGUCUACGAUGUCUAGGGGUUCUGAGAGGAAGGUCCCCCACACUGGAACAGAGACACGGUCCAGACUCCUACGGGAGGCAGCAGUGAGGAAUAUUGGUCAAUGGUCGGAAGACUGAACCAGCCAAGUAGCGUGAAGGGCGAAGGUUCUAUGGAUUGUAAACUUCUUUUAUACGGGAAUAAAACCUCCCACGUGUGGGAGCUUGUAUGUACCGUAUGAAUAAGCAUCGGCUAACUCCGUGCCAGCAGCAGCCGCGGUAA